CAGUAGAUGCACCCUGAUGGCAACGCCCGGAUUUCAGUCCUGGGCGUUUUUUUU
rfam:Leptolyngbya valderiana BDT 20041 contig00417, whole genome shotgun sequence.